GACGAACGCUGGCGGCGUGCCUAAUACAUGCAAGUAGAACGCUGAAGAGAGGAGCUUGCUCUUCUGGGAUGAGUUGCGAACGGGUGAGUAACGCGUAGGUAACCUGCCUUGUAGCGGGGGAUAACUAUUGGAAACGAUAGCUAAUACCGCAUAACAAUGGAUGACACAUGUCAUUUAUUUGAAAGGGGCAAUUGCUCCACUACAAGAUGGACCUGCGUUGUAUUAGCUAGUAGGUGAGGUAAUGGCUCACCUAGGCGACGAUACAUAGCCGACCUGAGAGGGUGAUCGGCCACACUGGGACUGAGACACGGCCCAGACUCCUACGGGAGGCAGCAGUAGGGAAGCUUCGGCAAUGGGGGCAACCCUGAACGAGCAACGCCGCGUGAGUGAAGAAGGUUUUCGGAUCGUAAAGCUCUGUUGUAAGUCAAGAACGGGUGUGAGAGUGGAAAGUUCACACUGUGACGGUAGCUUACCAGAAAGGGACGGCUAACUACGUG
rnacentral:rRNA from 1 species